CCUACGGGAUGCAGCAGUAGGGAAUAUUGCUCAAUGGGGGAAACCCUGAAGCAGCAACGCCGCGUGGAGGAUGAAGGUUUUCGGAUUGUAAACUCCUUUUGUUAGAGAAGAUAAUGACGGUAUCUAACGAAUAAGCACCGGCUAAUACCGUGCCAGCAGCCGCGGUAAUACGGAGGGUGCAAGCGUUACUCGGAAUCACGGGGCGUAAAGAGCGCGUAGGCGGGUUAGCAAGUCAGAUGUGAAAUCCUAGGGCUUAACCAUAGAACUGCAUUUGAAACUGUUAUUCUAGAGUAUGGGAGAGGUAGGUGGAAUUCUUGGUGUAGGGGUGAAAUGCGUAGAGAUCAAGAGGAAUACUGAUUGCGAAGGCGACCUGCUGGAACAUAACUGACGCUGAGGCGCGAAAGCGUGGGGAGCAAACAGGAUUAGAUACCCCUGUAGUC
rnacentral:rRNA from 1 species